rnacentral:rRNA from 1 species
AAUAGAUACCCAGGUAGUCCACCCCGUAAACGUUGGGAACUAGUUGUGGGGUCCAUUCCACGGAUUCCGUGACGCAGCUAACGCAUUAAGUUCCCCGCCUGGGGAGUACGGCCGCAAGGCUAAAACUCAAAGGAAUUGACGGGGACCCGCACAAGCGGCGGAGCAUGCGGAUUAAUUCGAUGCAACGCGAAGAACCUUACCAAGGCUUGACAUAUACGAGAACGGGCCAGAAAUGGUCAACUCUUUGGACACUCGUAAACAGGUGGUGCAUGGUUGUCGUCAGCUCGUGUCGUGAGAUGUUGGGUUAAGUCCCGCAACGAGCGCAACCCUCGUUCUAUGUUGCCAGCACGUUAUGGUGGGAACUCAUGGGAUACUGCCGGGGUCAACUCGGAGGAAGGUGGGGAUGACGUCAAAUCAUCAUGCCCCUUAUGUCUUGGGCUUCACGCAUGCUACAAUGGCCGGUACAAAGGGCUGCAAUACCGUGAGGUGGAGCGAAUCCCAAAAAGCCGGUCCCAGUUCGGAUUGAGGUCUGCAACUCGA